rnacentral:rRNA from 1 species
UGAGGAAUUUUGCGCAAUGGGCGAAAGCCUGACGCAGCGACGCCGCGUGGACGAAGAAGGCCUUCGGGUUGUAAAGUCCUGUCAGUGGGAAAGAUAAUGACGGUACCUGCUGAGGAAGCUCCGGCUGACUCCGUGCCAGCAGCCGCGGUAAGACGGAGGGAGCAAGCGUUGUCCGGAAUUACUGGGCGUAAAGAGCUCGUAGGCGGGGGCUUAAUUCUGGUAGUAAAUUCACCGGCUCAACUUGUUACUCAUCCU